rnacentral:rRNA from 1 species
AUGCGUUGUUGGGUAGGGGAGCGUUCUGUAAGCCUGUGAAGGUGUGCUGUGAGGCAUGCUGGAGGUAUCAGAAGUGCGAAUGCUGACAUAAGUAACGAUAAAGCGGGUGAAAAGCCCGCUCGCCGGAAGACCAAGGGUUCCUGUCCAACGUUAAUCGGGGCAGGGUGAGUCGACCCCUAAGGCGAGGCCGAAAGGCGUAGUCGAUGGGAAACAGGUUAAUAUUCCUGUACUUGGUGUUACUGCGAAGGGGGGACGGAGAAGGCUAUGUUGGCCGGGCGACGGUUGUCCCGGUUUAAGCGUGUAGGCUGGUUUUCCAGGCAAAUCCGGAAAAUCAAGGCUGAGGCGUGAUGACGAGGCACUACGGUGCUGAAGCAACAAAUGCCCUGCUUCCAGGAAAAGCCUCUAAGCAUCAGGUAACAUCAAAUCGUACCCCAAACCGACACAGGUGGUCAGGUAGAGAAU